AUUGAACGCUGGCGGCAUGCUUUACACAUGCAAGUCGAACGGUAACAGGGUGCUUGCACCGCUGACGAGUGGCGAACGGGUGAGUAAUGCCUCGGAACGUGCCGAGUAGUGGGGGAUAACGCAUCGAAAGGUGUGCUAAUACCGCAUACGUACUGAGGUAGAAAGUGGGGGACCUUCGGGCCUCACGCUAUUCGAGCGGCCGACGUCUGAUUAGCUAGUUGGUGAGGUAAAGGCUCACCAAGGCGACGAUCAGUAGCGGGUCUGAGAGGAUGAUCCGCCACACUGGGACUGAGACACGGCCCAGACUCCUACGGGAGGCAGCAGUGGGGAAUGUUGGACAAUGGGCGCAAGCCUGAUCCAGCCAUGCCGCGUGUCUGAAGAAGGCCUUCGGGUUGUAAAGGACUUUUGUCCGGGAGCAAAUACCCAGUGCUAAUAACGCUGGGGGCUGAGAGUACCGGAAGAAUAAGCACCGGCUAACUACGUGCCAGCAGCCGCCGUAAAAC
rnacentral:rRNA from 1 species